rnacentral:rRNA from 1 species
GUUUUGCAUAUCAUAAGCGGAGGGAAAAGAAACUAACAAGGAUUCCCCUAGUAACGGCGAGUGAAGCGGGAAGAGCUCAAAUUUGAAAUCUGGUAGCCUUCGGUUGCCCGAGUUGUAAUCUAGAGAAAUGUUUUCCGUGCCGGCCCAUGUACAAGUCCCUUGGAACAGGGCGUCAUAGAGGGUGAGAAUCCCGUCCUUGACAUGGACCCCCGGUGCUUUGUGAUACAUUUUCAACGAGUCGAGUUGUUUGGGAAUGCAGCUCAAAAUGGGUGGUGAAUUCCAUCUAAAGCUAAAUAUUGGCGAGAGACCGAUAGCGAACAAGUACCGUGAGGGAAAGAUGAAAAGCACUUUGGAAAGAGAGUUAAACAGUACGUGAAAUUGUUGAAAGGGAAACGAUUGAAGUCAGUCAUGCUCUUUGGUAUUUAUAUCAUUGAGUGGGGUCAACAUCAGUUUUGAUCGAUGGAUAAAGGCACUAGGAAUGUAGCACUCUCGGGUGAACUUAUAGCCUAGCGUCAUAUACAUUGAUUGGGACUGAGGAACGCAGCAUGCCUUUAUGGCCGGGAUUCGUCCACGUACAUGCGUAGGAUGUU